GCUUUCUAUGCAAUGCUUCCUUCAAUACUGGAACUGGACCUUUACGGUCUUAGGCUGACCAGCAUUGUAUUGAUCUAGUUCCAGGUG
rnacentral:tRNA from 1 species